UACGUAGGUGGCAAGCGUUGUCCGGAUUUACUGGGCGUAAAGGGCGUGUAGCCGGGCUGACAAGUCAGAUGUGAAAUCCGGGGGCUCAACCCCCGAACUGCAUUUGAAACUGUUGGUCUUGAGUAUCGGAGAGGCAGGCGGAACUCCUAGUGUAGCGGUGAAAUGCGUAGAUAUUAGGAGGAACACCAGUGGCGAAGGCGGCCUGCUGGACGACAACUGACGGUGAGGCGCGAAAGCGUGGGGAGCAAACAGG
rnacentral:rRNA from 1 species